AAGGGCCGCCGCCAUGCAGGAUCCGACCAAAUACAAGAAACUUUGUUUGCCAUGAAAGAAUGUACAUUCCCGAAUACAUAUGUUACAUAAACAUGAGGAAACACUUUAUAAUAUACACAUUAGUAAGUUUACAAAUCCAAAAGGAAACAUUGUAUUAAGAUACAUUUAGGGUUUCCAAUUUUGACGAGGAGCUAUACCAAAAGAAUCAAAAGAAUUUCUAACUAGCUCAACUCAUUCCUCAAAACAUUGAAGUUCCAAAAGAUGGUUCCCUGUAGAGAAAAUAAGGAUAACGGAACAGGGUGAGCUAAAAGUUCAAUGAGGUGCCCAAAAUAAUAACAGUCAAGAACCAAAGAACUUCAUGCUCAAUUAAUCACAUAAGUGUAGCAAAUAAGGAGAGGAACAAAACAACUUAGAUAAAAGGAUACAGGUGGCUCUCAGGAGUCAAACUCCCCGUUGCAGUACUUGAUCCAACUACGUUGACCCUCCGUCAACUUUCAAAUAAGGAAACCAAUCCAGUAGAAUACCACUUUAACGUCAAAUCCCGUUCACCAAUCAUACCCCUUACCGGACCCGAACGCCAAACAGGAACAGGAAUGGUAAUACUCGAGUAUACCGGAAUCAAGAGUCUCAAUACCCAAAGAUUCCCCCAGGAACAGGUACCCAAGGAUUGUCAAUUAUCUCGACCAAGCCCUUGCUGGCUCGAUUUAAUUAACUCCCCAUGAGGCUGAGCUCAAGUUUAACAGGACGAUCGUUGGACACAUUUCCAAACGAUCUCAUAACAAGUGUAAGUAACAAGUUCAAGUACAUAACAAGUACAAGUAAUAGAUUCUAGUUCGUUCAGUACAGGCAAGAGAACAAGUGUGAUAAAGUACACUCUCAUCUCAUAUAAGAUAAAAAGUCAGGAAAGAUAUUCAAAUAGCAAGUUGCAAGUACAGAAAACCAGUUUAGCAAUAAUUCAGGGGAGUGGUGCACUCACCUGAUCAAACAAGGAUAAUUUCAAAAGUUUCCUUCCCAAGUAUGGCUUUACUCGCCGGCACCUCCUAGAACAAUCAAGGCAAACACUUAAGACUGGACUCCAAGACCUAAUAAGUGGAAUUCGCAAGUAAAACUCGAUUACAAGUCAGGUGCCUAUCCAAAUGAACCAUUAAUUUAAAGCGAAGAGAUGACUUUGGAGUGAAAAGAUAACGAUUAGUCCUAAAGGCAUGAACAACCUCAAAACCCUACCUACAAUGACUGACCAACUCCAAAUUUGAAGUAGAAAAUGAAAGUAAGAUCGAUACUAGGAAAACAGGAUUUUCCAGUUUCGCGCAACCCUAUAUGAAAAAUCAUAUCUCAAGUUUUAUAAGUCCAAAAUUAGUAAAAGUUAUACCUUUGGAAAAUACAUUCAAAGGGCUAUAACUUUCCAGAGAACACCCUCAUAAGAUUCAGAACGCAAGUCAUACAAAUUCAAGCCUCAAGUUGCUGCUUUAUCCAGUGAAAGACAGAACAGGUACAAUAUUUCAGUCAACUUUGAAAAAUCACCAUAAAUGGUACAGACAUAAACAGGGUCUAAAAUUUAUACGGUUUAUACCCUAUGAAUCUAGUUUAAAACGCAACAAACAGAACUCAAUUUUGACAUUCCUACAUCAAGAUAUAGCAAAUUUCCCGAGACUGUGCAGAAGCUCCGCGAAAAUUUUGACAGCAUUUCCAUUGUCUUUCUUUACUUUCCAACCAAACCUCAACACCCACAAAUCACAAGCUAUCAAACACCUUUAAUUAGAGCCACAAUAAGGCUUGAAUACGAGUCAUAAACCGAAUCCACAUAUCACUAGAGUAAAAUCAUAUGGAACGUAUAAGUGCAAAAUCAAACUAGGACAUAUGCGGAAACGAAGUUUGCGUGGGAAAACAAAAGGCAGAUUUGCUGUUGCUUAGCGGAAUUAACACAACUGAAGCUAUCCUUGUCGAAUUGAGGUGUAAUUUACACCGUUUCGAAGCUAAGAGAAAGGGCUACAAUGUUGAAGAAGGCUACUCAGUCCAGUUUGCAAUGUAUCUAGGUCAAAUUUACCAAAACAACCCCAGAUUUUCCAGUUUGAAGUUUACUAUGAAAUGCAACCAGCAGUCGUGAUUCAUUCACUCAUAUCUCAGCACCUACGACUCCAAUUCAAGUGAUUCCAAAGCCAUCUGAAUGCUAAGAUACCAGGCUAUAAAUGUUAAGAAGACAUCAAUAACUAAAUCAGUAGUAUUCCCAGUCAACCUAACCAAUUAGCAAAGCUGAUUAUCAGUUUCAGACAGAAACAGGGCAGCAGGGGUGUUUCAAUCUUUUCACAGGCUACAUUGCUCCGAUUGGGCUGAAAUUUUUCAGGCAACUAUAAAACAUCAUCCUCUACAACUUUCAUGUUUUGUACUAAGGCUAGUUCAGCCUCUAACAUGGUGAAAUAGAACCGGACAGAAGCAGGGCAGGUUAUCAUCCAAGCUGGAAUUUAUGCUUACAAAGCAGAAAUUUCUUUAGGCCAAGUAAACUAGCAUCUAAACACUAGCUAUUUCACAUAUCAAAGCUAUCAAACCAUAACUAAUCAUAAAUCUUCAUAUUAGGGCAGAAAAUUCACCAAGAAACUGAAAUUUUCCAUAACACCACUUCCUUCAUGAAAUUUUUCUAUAAAACUACAUAACUCACAACUCUAAACCAUCCCCUAACAAUUAAUUGAAGUAAGAAGAAAGUUCUUGGUAACAUACCUUAAAAUCCCAAUAAAAAUGAUAGCUUGAUGUUUCCCUUUCAAAAACAACACCACCAACCUCUUAAAUCCUCCCUAUCAAGAAGUUUUUAUGGAGUACUUUGAUGUAUUAAAGAUUGGAACUCAAGAUUUGGCUUGGAUUGGCAAGACAAGAUGAAGGUUUUUCCUCUCUUUUUUCCUCCUCAAUAGCCGGC
rnacentral:lncRNA from 1 species